CAUUAGUCAGAUCAACUGACUUCUCAGAGAGAUCACGGAAGACAAUGCACAUUUUUAAGUGUGGGAACACCACUGACACUAAACCAAAGCUUAAGAACUUGAAAGUGAAAGUGACUGGAAAUGAAGCGAGACUGUUGUGCUGGUAAAGAAUGGAAUGUGAAAAUGAAAUAGACAUUUUAAAGGAGCACACUUCUCACUGACCUUCAGUUUACUCAGUGACUCAAACUGGGAGUUUCUGCAAUACAUACGGAGUUGUUCGGUACAGUGACCUACCUGCUCUUUUCUGAUGCCCUUAUCAUGAAUAUCUGGGGACUAACUCACUCUGCCUCCUGGAGAUAAUGAACACAAGCACGGUUUCUUGCUUCCACAGAGAACCACGGGGAUCACAAGGCACUUUCGCAAGUAUUUUCCCAUAUAACCCUCACACAAAUUCUGUGAGGUGGAGACUGCCAUCUGUCCUUUACAGCUAACAUGCCAUCCCAUACAAAAGAGCGCUGAGGAGGUGGAUGCAUGCAGAGAGGCAGCCCAGGAUUCAGAAGCUUGAAGGGGGGCCUAAAGAAACAUGUUCAGUCAAGAAAGCUCACUCUCUGCCACUCUUGGCUCAACCUGACUUGGUCAAAACAGACUGGAGGCAGAUAAUCACCUUUUAUUCUGGCCAGCUAUCUAUCUUGAUUUUAAGUCUGCAGGAGCAGCAGAUGAUCUUCAGUGUUUGUGUUUGUGUUUGCGAGAACAAACACGCAUUUUGCACCUGUGGAAUUUCCAAGCACUCUUGGAGGAACAACACACCCAAAUGGGGGACUUUAGAAGACGUUUGUUAAAAAUGGCAGAGUCACAAGAUAGAAGGAACCACAAGAUGGAAGAAAUUUUGGCUUGGAGAAGAGUCACCCACCAAUCAAAAACAGCUAAUUAAACUUGAU